GUUGUUGCGGUUAAAAAGCUCGUAGUUGGAUUUCUGUCGAAGGCGGCCGGUCCGCACUAUGUGCGUGUAUCUGGUUCGGUUUUGGCAUCCUCUUGGGGAACGUUUCUGUGCUUGAUUGCAUGGGGCGGGAUUCAAGACUUUUACUUUGAGGAAAUUAGAGUGUUCACGGCAAGCUAUCGCUUUGAAUACAUUAGCAUGGAAUAAUAAUAUAGGGCGUAAGUUCUAUUUUGUUGGUUUCUAGGACAUACGCAAUGAUUAAUAGGGACAAUUGGGGGCGUUCGUAUUAACGCGUCAGAGGUGGAAUUCUUAGAUUGCGUUACGACGAACUACUGCGAAAGCAUUUGCCAAGGAUGUUUUCAUUGAUCAAGAACGAAAGUAUGGGGAUCGAAGACGAUUAGAUACCGUCGUAGUCUAUACCAUAAACUAUGCCAAUUAGAGAUUGGAGGUCGUUCGUUUUAUGACUCCUUCAGCACCUUAUGAGAAAUCAAAAUUUUUGGGUUCCGGGGGGAGUAUGGUCGCAAGGCUGAAACUUAAAG
rnacentral:rRNA from 1 species